UGGUCCUUGGUGGAAUUAACUAUCCUUUUAUUAGCACAAAAUAACAUCCACCUAGUUGCCCCAAGGCCCAAGAAUAAGUUAAGGCACAGAGCAGGUGAAGGGCGAAGGGGGCUGUUCUCAGCUGGGGCCUGCCCCAAACUUCCUGAGCAAACUCCCGAAGGGGCUGGGUGUUGCAACACUCCCGGAGGGGCUUCUCCCUCGGAGGCAGUGUCCUGGGGCUUGAAUCACAGGUGUUCUGCCCGAGGCUCACUUCUCGAAGUAGGGCAGGUAGAAAAACUGGAAGCCCCGGUGGCCCUUGACGGCACAGUAGAUGAAGAUCACGUGGUACACUGUGGGGGCGGAGUCUGUCACCAGGAAGCCUUGCCCAGCCCCUCCCUCUCCCCACCCCCUUGCCUGCCUGCCCAUACCUCCGGGGAUCAACAACAGGAAGCCGGGCACGAAGAAGAUGGCACUGGAGACACCUGGUGGAGGGAGAGGUUCUGUUCCAGAACACAGGGUUCAGAGGGUGGCUGGAGUCAGGCCCUUCCUCACUCCCCUCCUUGGGGAGAGGAGAAAAAUCGCCCAUACAGCUGCUUCCCCGGCCACCUGGCAGCUGCUCACCUGGCCCUCCACCCUCCCAGCCGAACGGGUUUGAUGAUUCACAGAAACCGAAACCCAGCUGGAGAUUUAACUCAGUGGUUUCGCGGCCUGCGGCACAAGCACAAGGAUCGGAGUUUGGUGCCCGGUACCAAAAACAAAACAAAACAAAACUUUGCUCUUCUUAAAACUUCCAAGGGGUUUCUACAGUAGUUAGAAUAAAUUCUGUGUCCUUGGCUUGGGCUUACAAUGCUCUGAAUGUCAGGUGCCUGUCUACCUUUCCCACCCUUGGACCUUCCCUCUGCCUUUUUCCACCUCACACAGCCACGCUAUGCCCCAGCUGUAUUUAGCUUAAUGUAUAAACAAACAAACCAAUAAACAUUUGUGGCAGGAAUGAAUGGGUAGUAUGCUAGAGUUCCAAACGCUUGGAAAUAGCAGAACUGAGAUUUGAACCUAGAUCCUCCCAGCUACUGGAGUACCUGUCUUCUUCUGCCUCAUCC
rnacentral:lncRNA from 1 species